rnacentral:rRNA from 1 species
UACGUAGGGACCAAGCGUUGUCCGGAUUUAUUGGGCGUAAAGAGCGUGUAGGCGGCCAUACAGGUCCGUUGUGAAAACUGGAGGCUUAACCUCCAGACGUCGAUGGAAACCGUAUGGCUAGAGUCCGGAAGAGGAGAGUGGAAUUCCUGGUGUAGCGGUGAAAUGCGCAGAUAUCAGGAAGAACACCCGUGGCGAAGGCGGCUCUCUGGGACGGUACUGACGCUGAGACGCGAAAGCGUGGGGAGCGAACAGG